CCCUAGUAUACACUCCUCUUCUUCUUCUCUCUUUAGCUCUCAGAAGUAAAAGAAAUCCAGCUCAAAAGGGUUUAAAGCCUUGGCCUCUUUUCACUUGGCAACAACUAUUCCUCAUUUUUUAGUUCACGUAAAUUUGCCAACCUCCACUAUCUCUAGCCAUGGAAAUUGAAUCAGCAACUCAAGAGAAGGCUGGGCCCUUCACUAGAGGAUGGAAUUGGCUUAAGGCCUUGCCUGAUAAGUCCAAGGCCAAGGUGAUGAAUGUUGCAAAGAGUAUGAGAAAGCUUGGACAAGAUGACCCAAGAAGAGUCGUUCACUCCCUCAAAGUGGGACUUGCUCUCACAUUGGUGUCCUUAUUAUAUUAUUCUAGGACUCUCUAUGAUGGUUUUGGGAUUGCAGGAAUAUGGGCUGUGCUAACAGUGGUAGUAGUCUUUGAAUUCACUGUAGGUGGUACCUUAAGCAAGAGUUUGAAUAGAAGUUUUGCAACUUUUCUAGCCGGUGCAUUAGGGCUUGGAGCUCAACACUUGGCAAGCAUCUUUGGAGAGAAAGGAGAGCCUAUAGUUAUUGGAUUCCUUGUUUUCCUUUUAGGUGCAGCAUCUACAUUCACUCGAUUCUUUCCAAGAAUCAAGGCAAGAUAUGACUAUGGAGUCUUGAUAUUUAUAUUAACAUUCAGUAUGGUGUCGGUAUCUGGUGUUCGAGUUGUAGAGCUCUUAGAAUUGGCUCAUCAAAGGCUAUCAACAAUAGUAAUAGGUGGAGCAACCUGCAUAAUUGUAUCCAUGUGCAUCUGUCCUGUUUGGGCAGGUGAAGAUCUUCAUAAGUUGGUUACUUCCAAUAUAGAAAAGCUUGCAAGCUACCUUGAAGGUUUUGGAGAUGAAUAUUUUCACUGCAAAUCUGAGGAUGAAGAAGGGAAGGUUAAUGUCUCCAAAAAAGACAAGCCAUUUCUUCAAGGAUAUAGAAGCGUCCUCAAUUCAAAAUCCACAGAGGAUUCCAUGGCAAAUCUUGCAAGAUGGGAGCCUAGACAUGGCCGAUUCUGCUUCAGGCAUCCAUGGAAGCAAUACUUGAAGAUUGGAGCCAUCACAAGGCAAUGUGCUUACCAUAUUGAAGCUCUUAAUGGCUAUAUCAACUCUAAUAUCCAAGCAUCAGAGGAAUUCCAGAGUAAAAUUCAAGAACCAUGCACAAAGAUGAGUCAAGAGUCCUGCAAGGCACUGAGAUCACUAGCCUCAGCAAUCAAAACAAUGACUGAUUCUUCCCCUGCAAAUAUCCAUGUGGAGAACUCCAAAACUGCCAUUAAUGAACUCAAAUUUGCUGUGAAUAAAGCUAGCUCAUUAGAGAAAGCAGAGCUCCUAGCAAUAGUGCCGGCUGCAACAGUUGCAUCGACAUUAAUAGAGAUCGUAACAUGUGUGGAAAAACUAUCUGAAGCAGUGCAUGAACUUGCUAACCUAGCACAUUUCAAGCCUGUGGAAGCUACUGCGACACAAGAGAAACCUCAGUUAUCGCUUCACCGAGGAACUGUAAAUCCUGUUCUUGAUGGUGAUAAUACGGAUCAUAUUACUAUUACAAUAGAUGCAAACCCCACAGAUUCCUCAGAAAAUGAGAAGUCUCAAGCACCAAAAAGCCUAGCCAGCGGCACCGUCUAGCAGUCUAAAUAUUUUUGUCACCAUAUAACAUGUGAACUAGUUUUCACAGUUGGGUAAAUUGAUCUCUAGUUUGGUUUCACGGAGGAAAAAAUUAUUAAUGAAAAUUUCCCCACUAUUUUUAUGCUUUAGUUGUAACAAUUGAUUCAAUUUUUCACAUUUUGGAGGGAAAGAGAGAAGUCUUUUUGUAUUGACAAUAUGUGAGCAGUGCUUUCUUUUUCUUGACAAAAUAGCCUGAAUCAAUGUCCAAUCUUUUAUAUAUAAUGGAGAUCAUUAGUAUAUGCAUAUACAUGUUAAAUUAUUUUUUUCGUUCCUCGGUUAUACCAAAAUCAACUCGUGUUUGCAAAAAUCAAUCUUUAGUCCCAAAAAUAUGAAAGUGUUCUUCCUUCUUACUUGUGUGGAGGAAGUAUACAAUUUUUUUCAGGAAAUUCUUGUUAGGCUCAAUUUUUUAUGGACUUAGGUCUAAUAAGAUAAUAUUAGCUGUUCUAAUAGCGGUAAGCUAUUUUACUAGUUUUCAGCUAUUGAACUAGUAGUUAACAGUUAGAUAUUAGUUGUUAAUUGUUAACCGUUUAUAUAGUAAUUUAAAG
rnacentral:misc_RNA from 1 species